GCCUCCCAUCUUAGGCCCCGCCCCUUGCCUUAAGCCCCGCCCCUCAUCUGGCAGGUGCCAAGCAGCCCCCAGGAGGGUCCCGGGGGUCCCCCGAGGCCCCGGGGGUGCCGUGGGGCCUUGCCCCGUCCCGGCGCCGUUCCCCUCACAGGAGGGCGAUGAGGAGCGGCCACGGCCGGGCCCAGCCCCGUGUGGGGCCCGAGCAGGCCCCGGCCGGCGGCGGCGGGCACCGGGAGCGGCUGCCGGUGUCGGGACGGGGGGGGCCGGGCUGCCCCUGAGGGCACGGCCCCGGUGCGGCGGGGCCAACGCUCGGCCUUCAGGGCUCCACGCGCUUGGAAACGGGCGCGUUGGGAGGCCGCGGGACGCAUCCUGCGCGCCUCGCCCCGGGGAAGGGCGGAGGCGGCGGCGCCGGGAAGGAAGCGGCUGCGUGGGGCGGGCGGCGGCGCGGUGCCGGCAGCCAGGGCUGCAGCGGGGCCUGAGCACCGGGCGGUGGGGACGGGGCUGCUCGUCCUCCCCCAGCCCCUUCCUUCCCCGCUGCCCGGCCCCUGAGCGUGGCAGGAAGCGGGGUGCAGGACCCCAGAAUGUCGGGGAUCGGAAGGGACCUUGGGAGCUCAUCCUGCCGGAGCAGGAGCUCCCGGGUCAGGACCCACAGGCGGGUUUUGGGUGUCUCCAGAGAUGGAGACCCCACAACCCCCCGAGCAGCCUGUCCCAGGGCCCUGCCACCCUCCCCAUAAAAAAAGUUUCAUCUCCUCUUUAAGCAGAACCUCCUCUCUUCCCGCUUGCACCCGCUGCCCCUUGCCCUAUCAUGGGAUGUCACCGCGAAGAGCCUGGCUCCGUCCUCCUGGCGCUCGCCCUUUCCAUAUUUACCAACACCAACAAGGUCACCCCCCCGUCUCCUCUCCUCGCAGCGGGUCCCCGGGGGCAGUGGGUGCCCGCAUCCUGCCCGCAGCCCCCAUCCCGCCUGCCCCCCCUAUAUCUGAUGCCUUUGGAGCGUCGCUGCUGACUCAGGCCAACGCAGGGAGCUCGCUGCCCCCCCCCACCCCGACCCUCCCACCCAUUGGGACUGGGUGGAAAGGGCUGGGACGGGCCCCGGGACGGGGAUAUACCCCCGGCGGCAGCCCCGGCCCCGCUGCAGCCGUCCCGGUGGGUAGGAGGAUGCUCCUCCGGGCUCGGGCACGGCUCCUCUGCUGCCUGCUCCUUGCAGUGCUCCGGCAGGGGCGCGGGGACCCGCUGUACGGAGCCCCCGAGGACGAAGGUAAGGCUGCGAUGCCGUCGUCCCAGCACCGCUGUGGCCGUGGCAGAGCUGACGCAGGGGGACGGGGCCCUGGGCACGGUCCCAAGGGUCCUCCCGGUGCUGAGGGCUCCGUCUGUCCUUCCAGGUGACUACCUGUAUCUGGACGAGGACGGUGAGUAGAGCUGCCCCCUCGGGAGCCGUCAGCGUCGCAGGGGCCGCUUGGUGCCCCGUGGGUAAGCGACCCCUCUCCUCAGGACCGCUGGAGGUGCUGGGGGGGCCGGCCCGCUGCCAGGACUCCUACCAGGACUGGGUGGCCCUGUACUGCUGGGCCCCCUUCCACGCCGCCCUCAUGGCCGCCCCCGAGGGCAGCCGCUGCCGCUGGGAGCAGAUCGGGAGGUGGGUCCUGCUGCGGUGCCCGGGGCUCGCUCCGAGCAGCGCCCGCGUGGGGCUGACCCCCCCCGUGUACUCGGGGUCCUGCGCCGCCCGGCUGCCCUCACCCCGUCUCUCCCCUCUCCGCAGCGCCUACAGCGAGCUCUCCGCCUGCGCCGAGCUGCUGGCCCAGCUCUUUUCCUGCCCCUGGCCCAGCACCGCCCUCGAUGCCUUCUUCCUGCAGGUCCACGCCGAAUAUUUCAGCAACUGCAGCAGGAUGGAGCCCCCUGGGAGCGGGGGGCUGCCCCCCGGGCUGGCUGCUGCUGCGGCGGUGGCGCUGGGCUGCCUCGUCCCCCUCGCAGCCGCCUUCACCGUCCGCAGAGCCUGGAGGGGGGCUCGGAGCCCGGCGGGCAGCGGCACAGCCCCGAGUGUCCCAGUGGCCACGCUGGGCUGAGAGCAAGCCCUGGGGGUUCAACGGAGGGGGCGAAGGGUGAGCGGGGUGGGGGUCUGGGGGUCCUGUGCCACGGGGCGAGGCCGGCACUGGGGGGCCGACCGCCUGCCUCCCGCCCUAGGGUGGGGGAAAAUGGGGAGAAGGGUCCUGGGAUCGCAACCUCGCUGGGCUGAGCCCCUUCCCCGUGGGCUGAGCCCCCUGCCCAUGGGCUGAGCCCCCUC
rnacentral:lncRNA from 1 species